CACAAGCAACAGCCACUAACAACAGUGAACGACGGAGCUGCUUCCCUCGGGGGUUCAGUUCUGCUUUGAAAUGAUCUGAUGGGUCGCUGGAAAACACUAUUGUUGUGUUCAAGUUGUGCUUAAAGGAAUUAGCCUAUCAGUGAAGCUAUUCAAGCCUAAAAUAGCAUCUCAAUGCCAGACAUGUUGCUAAUGCUAAUGUCAGCAUCCAGGAUGGAUGAUCAGGACUUCCUGAAACUCUGGAAACCUGAAUGGAUGGAAAAACUCUUCUCUCCAAUCUGAUGGCUGAAGAACCUGAAGAACAGAUUAAAAACAAUAUCGCUGUUGUUGAGCUCAUUUGUCUAUUAAAUCAACAAUUUGGCAGCAAAAAGUGUUCUUGGGUUGAAAAUGCUGAUUCUUUUGUCAAUAUAUGAGCAGUUAACUUGAUUAAAAAUUUAAAUCCAGUCAUUAUCAUGACCAAAAGGCUUAGAGCACCGAACACUCACCCCUGAGGAACUCCUUUCUUCAUUUUAUCAGGAGGCUGAUGUUUCUGCCAACACAUGAUGCUGGUUGUUCAACAUUUGAUGCUCUACUUUAUCAAAAACUGAAAUAAUUGUAAACAUUAAUGAUGAUUAAAAACAUGUAUUUUUA